rnacentral:rRNA from 1 species
AACGCGAAGAACCUUAUCCUGGGCUUGACAUGUGCGAAAGCGCCAGCAGGUAGGACCCGGAAACGGGAACGAACGGUAUCCAAUCCGGAAGCUGGUACAGGUGCUGCAUGGCUGUCGUCAGCUCGUGUCGUGAGAUGUUGGGUUAAGUCCCGCAACGAGCGCAACCCUCGUCCCAUGUUGCCAGCGGGUAAAGCCGGGGACUCGUGGGAGACUGCCGGGGUCAACUCGGAGGAAGGUGGGGACGACGUCAAGUCAUCAUGCCCCUUAUGUCCAGGGCUGCAAACAUGCUACAAUGGCCGGUACAAAGGGCUGCUAUCCCGCGAGGGUGCGCGAAUCCCAAAAAGCCGGUCUCAGUUCGGAUCGCAGUCUGCAACUCGACUGCGUGAAGUCGGAGUCGCUAGUAAUCCCGGAUCAGCCACGCCGGGGUGAAUACGUUCCCGGGUCUUGUACACACCGCCU